GCUGAGACUAGAGUCACAUCUGGACACAGUUGUUGCUUUGGUGCGCUAAAGUUCUCAGAGAGAACAUGCUAGUCUUGGGGGGUCAGUCAGUGCCCCAUUAAUACCCAGAUCAGAAACAUGC
rnacentral:snoRNA from 1 species